UACGUAGGGUGCAAGCGUUGUCCGGAAUUAUUGGGCGUAAAGAGCUCGUAGGCGGUCUGUCGCGUCUGCUGUGAAAACUCAGGGCUUAACCCUGAGCUUGCAGUGGGUACGGGCAGACUAGAGUGCGGUAGGGGAGACUGGAAUUCCUGGUGUAGCGGUGAAAUGCGCAGAUAUCAGGAGGAACACCGGUGGCGAAGGCGGCUUGCUGGGCCUUACCUGACGCUGGAGGAGCGAAAGCGUGGGGAGCGAACAGG
rnacentral:rRNA from 1 species